AUUGAACGCUGGCGGCAGGCUUAACACAUGCAAGUCGAACGAGUGGCGGACGGGUGAGUAAUGCUUGGGAAUCUAGCUUAUGGAGGGGGAUAACUACGGGAAACUGUAGCUAAUACCGCGUACCAUAGGAUGAGCCCAAGUGGGAUUAGGUAGUUGGUGGGGUAAAGGCUCACCAAGCCGACGAUCUCUAGCUGGUCUGAGAGGAUGACCAGCCACACUGGGACUGAGACACGGCCCAGAUGCCUACGGGAGGCAGCAGUGGGGAAGAUUGCGCAAUGGGGGCAACCUGACGAAGCCAUGCCGCGUGAAUGAAGAAGGCCUUCGGGUUGUAAAGUUCUUUCGGUAGCGAGGCGUUACCAACAGAAUAAGCACCGGCUAACUUCGUGCCAGCCGCCGCGGUAAUAC
rnacentral:rRNA from 1 species